CGGACCGACCCACACAAAUAGUGCAAAUCCGAGAACAUAAUGUAUGGGGUGGGGUGGGGGGACCAGUGUGACGAUCGCGAAAGUUUUUGCGGUUCAUGGCGUCUAUCUAAGAAGGACUCUUGAAUGGCUUUCAAAGUAUGAGCUUUUCAAAAUACUUCCAAUCUCGAGACACCACCUCAUUGGUCAUGACAGCCUAUACAUGUAAUCGUAUCGUGAACGUCUAAAUCAACUAUUUUCGUUCCUUUUUGUAAUCCUCAGUUUGCGUUGUGUUGUGUUGUCUCACGUGUGUGUUGUUUGUCGACACAGGAUCAGCGGGGGGGGGGGGGUCGUAUCGAGCCUCCCCCACCCUGGAGGUCUGGCUACGCCACUGGUUGCGAGCGCAGUCGACAUACAGAAGUAUCCCGUACCGUGAAGACCACCACCCCAAACGUGGUUGCCACGGUUUCGGUUUUGGUCCAUUUGCAUGUCAAAAUUCAGGUAUGUUUAUUUUAAUACACGUACGUAUUUCAAAAUUUUUAAACAUGGUGUGGAUUUUAACUAGGACAGUCUGUUAUAUCGGUAUCUGGCUUUUGUUCAAGACGUCCUUAUUGUAGUUAAUUAAUGAACUUAAUUUAUUAGUCAUCCUUAUUAGUCAUUAUAGUCUUUCUUGGAAAAGAUACACGCCUGUAGAACUCAACUGUGAAAAUGACGUGCUCUCGUGACUUUUUUAUAAAAAUUUGUCCAAGCUGAAACACACACACAAAAUAAACGGGGUGCCACAAACGCGUACUUCGUGGUCGUAGCCAUUUUUAAUAGAGAUUUUUUUAAAUAAAACAACUAGGACUACGUGUACAUUAGUUUCGCACUUACGCGUAUGCGAGUGGAGGAAAACCUGCACCGUGCCAGCACCGUGAAAACUCGAGGAGCGGUGGACUGUUCACUCUGCCCCCACAUUCUCAUUUAUACCGAAACUAAACAGGAGCAGCUUUCCAAGCUAGGGCUCCGGAACGAACCGACAACAGUAGAAAACAAUAAAGAAAAAAGAAAAAAAAGAGAGGAAGGAAGCACAAAAAAGUAUAUCCGCUUGAACCGAAACGGGACAAAAAACAUUACAAACACGUUUUUCUUGUGCCGGCCUUCGGCAUUUAGCAGCCUUUCUGAACCCUGAUGUGGUGUGUGCGGCGUUCCUGGCUGUGUAAACACCAAAGAAUCCCGCUCUGGUGGACGAAGGGACCGGGUAUUCGCUACCACAAGGUUCCAAGGAACGAACCCGCACGGACCACAUGGCUGAGGUUGAUAGGACGUGAUGCCGUCCCACAGAACUUCGAAAUCUCCUUCUGUUAUUUGCACUUCCGAUCGGACGAUUACGUAUUGAACAUGGCACUCGCGGACGAGUCCGGAGUUGGGAGAUUCCGAGGUAGACUGACGUCUGGCGCGACGCCGUCGCUGAACCUGCCGACGGGCAAUCAGCAUGCAGUGCAACAGAAAAACAAGGUACGUAUUACAACGUGUCGUGUAAUAUACACACCCAUACCCCAUACGUAUAUGUACGUAUAUGCACAUACGGAUGUUUUCUGUCUUGCGGGUUUGAGCCUUCUUUGUGUCAGUCACUUUCUCUAAUGCAGGCCAGCCUGUGUAUCCCAGAAGGAUGUGACAGCCAAGCUAGUGAUGGUAAGACUGCAUGGACUGGCUCCAUGGUUCUUGCUUCCCAACCUGGUAACGAAGAAAGCAGCCACGCAUCUGAAACAGUGUGUGCUUCCCCUGCACUUCUGUCUGCCAAUGUAACCAACUUAUCAAGUUUACGGUGCUCCAGCGUGCUCAGUUAUAACCUAUACACUGUUCGGUAACUGAACGGUAUUCUGCAAGACCCGUGUGCAAGACGUUACCUGAUCUAAGAGUGCAUGUUGUGUGUAUGUGCAGGCUUCCCAACAUGGUAACGAAGAAAGCAGCCACGCAUCUGAAACAGUGCGUGCUUCCCCUGCAAAGUUCUCGGCCCAUGGAGUAACCCUGGACACCAGUGCCGUGCACUUGGCGCUCUUCUUUCCUUUCUGAGGGCCACCGGCCUCCUUCACGAACUGUAGGGGUUUCCUUCCCUCGUCAUCCUUUCAUGUGAACCCUUUUGGAAUGGGGUAGGGUCCUGCACUCAACGCAGGGAAACAUCCCACAUCAUCAUCAUCCAUUCAUCUAUGUUGUUGUUGUUCCCCUGCAUUUCUGUCUCCCGAUGUGAGUGUCGACUCUUACAUUGCAAUACUACUUAUAUAUGACAUAUGCAUGCAAAUUGUCACAAAGUACUGCAAAUAACAUGUGACUCUAUGUGAUACAUGGUUU